rnacentral:rRNA from 1 species
GGCUCAGACGAAACGCGGGCGGCGUGGCUAAGACAUGCAAGUCGCACGGACCACAGUAGCAAUAUUGUGGUUAGUGGCGGAAGGGUGAGUAAUGCAUGGGUAACGUACCUUGGACUCAGGGAUAACGGCGGGCGCAAGCCCUUUAGCGAAAGUGCCGCUAAUACCUGAUGAAAUCACGGGAGUGCAUGCUUCGGUGAUCAAAGCUGGGGACCCGCAAGGGCCUGGCGGUCUUUGAGCGGCCCAUGUCCUAUCAGCUAGUUGGUGAGGUAAUGGCUCACCAAGGCAACGACGGGUAGCCGGACUGAGAGGUCGGCCGGCCACAUCGGGACUGAGACACUGCCCGGACACCUACGGGUGGCUGCAGUAACGAAUAUUGGGCAAUGGGCGCAAGCCUGACCCAGCGACGCCGCGUGCAGGAGGAAGUCCUUCGGGAUGUGAACUGCUGUCAGGGGCUAGCAAGCGACCGGAGCGAAUAACUCUGGAAGUUGAGCCGCCCCAGAGGAAGCCUCGACUAACUCUGUGCCAGCAGUCGCGGUAAGACAGAGGAGGCAAGCGUUGUUCGGAAUCACUGGGCUUAAAGCGCGUGUAGGCGGCUCGGUAAGUGUCGUGUGAAAUCCCAGGGCUCAACUCUGGAACUGCACGGCAAACUCCCGGGCUUGAGGCCGGUAGAGGUGCCUGGAACUCUCGGUGGAGCGGUGAAAUGCGUAGAUAUCGAGAGGAACGCCGGAGGCGAAAGCGGGGCACUGGGCCGGUUCUGACGCUGAGACGCGAAAGCGUGGGGAGCAAACAGGAUUAGAUACCCUGGUAGUCCACGCCGUAAACGAUGCACACUGGACGUCGGACCCUCUGACGGGACCGGCGUCGUAGCAAAAGUGCUAAGUGUGCCGCCUGGGGAGUACGGCCG